rnacentral:misc_RNA from 1 species
UCCCGUGAAGGUCCGCGAGGCUGCC